rnacentral:lncRNA from 1 species
AUGCGGCCGACCGCCAGACUGGGUCAAAGUGGCAGCCCGCCGCGCUGCUCAGCCCUGGGGCUGCACCCCGCACUCAGGUGGCCCACCCCCAGAGUGGGAAAAAUGGCAGUCCGCCGCGCUGCAGCCCUGGGGGCCAUCCCCACCCACUCAGUCGGCGGACCACCAGAGUGGGUCAAAGUAGCAGCCCGCCGCGCUGCUCAGCCCUGGGGGCCCUUUCCCCACCCAUGCGGCCGACCGCCAGUGUGGGUCAAAGUGGCAGCGGCCACGCUGCUCAUCCCUGGGGGCCCUUUCCCCACCCGUGCGGCCGACCGCCAGAGUGGGUCAAAGAGGCACCCCGCCGCGCUGCUCAGCCUGGGGCCCUCCCUCCCACUGAAGCGCGCCGACCGCCAGAGUGGGUCAAAGUGGCAGCCCGCUGUGCUGCUCAGCCCUGGAGGCCCAACCCAUCAUGCGGCAGACGGUCAGAGUGGGAAAACUGGCAGCCCGCCGCGCUGCUCAGCCCUGGGGGCUUCCAACCCACUCAGGCGGACGACUGCCAGAGUGGGUCAAAGUGGCAGCCCGCGCGAGCUCCUCAGCCCUGGCGGCCCACCCCACUCAGGAGGAGGAGAGCCAGAGUGCGUCAAAGUGGCAGCCCGCCGCGCAGAUCAGCCCGUCGGGCCCCACCCCCACUCAGGCGGCCGACCGCCAGCCUGGGUCAAAGUGGCAGCCCGCCGCGCUGCUCAGCCCUGGUGGCCCUCCCCCCGACUCUGGGGCCGAACGCCAGAUUUGGUCAAAGUGGCGUCCGCCGCGCCACUGCUCAGGACUGGGACCCACCCACCCGACUUAGGCGGCCGAUCGCCAGAGUGGGUCAAAGUGGCAGCCCGCCGCGCUGCUCAGCUCUGGGGCCGUCGCCCCGAACACUGGCGGCCCACCGCCAGAGUUGGUCAAAGUGGCAGCCCGCGAGCUGCUCAGCCCUGGGGGACCAAGCCCACUCAGGCGGCCGCCCGCUACAGUGGGUCAAAGUGGCAGCUUGCCGCGCAUCAUAGCCUGGGGUCCGUCUCCCCACUCAGGCGGCCGACCCCCAGAGUGGGUCAAAGUGGCAGCCCGCCCUGCUGCUCAGCCCUGGGCCCCUCCACCACUCAGGCGCCGACCGCCAUAGUGGGUCAAAGGGGCAGCCCGCAGCGCUGCUCAGCCCUGGGGCGCCCACACACUCAGGCGGCCGACCGACAGAGUGGGUCAAAGGGGCAGCCCGCCACGCUGCUUCAGCCCUGGGGCCCUCCUCCCACUCAGGCGGCCGACCGCCGGAGUGGGUCAAAGUGGCAGCCCGCCACGCUGCUCACCCUGGGGGCCCUUUCCCCACUCAGGCGGCGACCGCCAGAGUGGUCAAAGUGGCAGCCCUCCGAGGUGCUGAGCAUUGCGGGCCCGACCCCCACUCAAGCGGCCCUAGACAGAGUGGGAAAAAGUGGCAGCCCGCCGCGCUGCUCAGCCCUGGGUCCCUCACCCACUCAGGCAGACGACAGCCAGAGUGGGUCAAAGUGGCAACCCGCCGCGCAGCUCAGCCCUGGGGGCCCAACCCUGACUCAGGCGGCAGACCACCAGAAUGGUGAAAGUGGCAGCCCGCUGCGCUGCCCAGCCCGGGCGGGCCCCCUCUACUCAGGCGGCCGACAGCCAACUGGGUCAAAGUGGCAGCCCGCCGUGCUGCUCAACCCUGGCGGCCACCGCCAACUCAGGUGGCCACCGCCAGAGUGGGUCAAACUGGCACCUGCGGCCCUGCUCAGCACUGGGGGCCCACUCCCACUCAGGCGGCGACCGCCCGAGUGGGUCAAAGUCGCAGCCCGCAGCGCUGCUCAGCCCUGGGGGCGCCCCACGUAG